AGGCCUAAUCACAUCGGGGACUCGAGGCCUCCCUUCCAGGCUUGGCAGGCAGAGUAUCUCAAGAUGAAGAGAAAGACAUUUUCCCUUGCAUGCUGGCCGCUGUUUCAUCUUCUACUACUCUUAGGAAACGCUGUAACUUCUAAUGCUAACACUACAGCCGCCACCCUUGGACAAACCACAUCACCCAGGGGAACUAACACAACAGCUAUAACCUCCAGUGGGAACAUCACGACCACCUCCCUCGGACCAACCACACCAUCCAGGGGAACUAACACAACAGCUAUAACCUCCAGUGGGAACAUCACAACCACCUCCCUCGGGCCAACCACACCGUCCAGGGGAACUAACACAACAACUAUAACCUCCAGUGGGAACAUCACGACCACCUCCCUCGGACCAACCACACCGUCCAGGGAAACUAACACAACGGCUAUAACCUCCAGUGUCACCAGCACAAGUACUGCCCCUCCAAGGAAAGAGGAGAACCUUAGCGGACAACUGACACCAUGGGAAGUUGUUCUGGUCACUCUGGCCUCGGUUGCAAUGGCUGUGAUUCUCGUCACCGGGCUUCUCUUCCAUUUCGUGAGUGCCUGAUUAUAGGGAACCCUUUUUCUAAAGGAAAGAGAGGAGGGAGGUAAAGAAGGAGCUGGAGUAGAGAGAGCAGGGUCACUGUGGGAGUAACAGGGAUGAGAAAUCAGAAAAAGACACAGAGAAAGCAGGUCAGAGCCAGCAAGCCAGAAGGUCAAAAAGCCAAAACAUAUUCAGAGAAAACUGAUGAGGGGACGUUCCGGGGGGAGGUCGGGGGGAGGCGAAGGAAGUGAUGAGGACGGAAGAGCUGGCAAGAAGGGGACUCCUGGGACUGGAGAGCCACUGGAAGAGGGGGCAAAACUCCGAAAACUAUUCAGCCUUUUGUUUUCUAGAGAAACUCUCCAGGCCUCAGAAACCUCUUCGAUGUUGAUCUCUUACCAACUGCAUGGCCAAGCCCCUACGGGACCAGGGCAACUGCAACUGACUUCAGAGGAGACCCUUCUCCCGUAGUCAUGGAGCUGACUGGGAGGCGGGAACAGCACUGAGCUCCCUGAAGGCAGACGCAUCACCAAUGUGUGGGGGUAGGGG
rnacentral:lncRNA from 1 species